ensembl:lncRNA
GUAUUUUAUUGAGGUCACAUUGGCUUAUAACAUUGUGUGAAUUUCAGGUUACAUUAUUGUAUAUCAGUUUGUGUAGAGACUGCAUCAUAUUCACCGCCAACAGUCUAGUUUCCAACUGUCACGGUACCCAUGCGCCCCUUUACUCCUUUCACCCUCAUCCCACCCCCUUCUCCUCUGGUGACCACCCAUGUGUUCUCUUUGUCCAUGUGUUUGUUUAUCUUCCACACGUGAGUGAAAUCAUACUCAGGUGAUGUGCUAUUCAUCUUCCUCUGACUUGUUUUGCUUAGCACAAUGCCCACAAGCUUCAUCCAUCUUAUUGCAAAUGGCAAGAUUUUGUCUUUUUUUAUGGCAGCUUUGAAAAUGUACUACAUUUGUCCUAAGAAUAGCCUUUUCGGGGGUGGGUUAGGUAGAGUGGCAACUACUCAAAUGCGGUUCAUGUUCCUUCCACCCGAAGUGAGAUGUAGGCAUUUUUGGAAAGAAAAAUAACAUUCCCAUUGACUUCAAAGAAAAGAGUGUCACUAACAGUGAGACAAAGAAAUGGAACUUGGAUAUAAAGCUGCUCCGAGACUUGCUUGUCAUUGUGAACAGUGCUUCUGCCCUGGGUGUUGGGCCCAUAGUGCAUCUCAGUGCAACUGCGAUCGUAAAUGAAUCUAACAAUGGGGGAAAUUCUUCCUGACAAGGGUUUGCUUAUUUAACUUGCAUAAAUUUACAGAACACAAAAGGUCCUUUCAUAGCAAGACAAUAAAUAAAAGUAAAAAAGGUCUUUAGCCAUCAAUGCAUGGUACAUUAUUCUACUUAUGCAUUUAAUUUUCAGCAGUCCAGACUGUCAGGCAUAAGAAUAUAGCAGAAAUGGCAUGUAAUAUGCACACAAUGAAAAGACGUUUCAGGCACUGAGCUUGUGUGAAACAAUUUCAGAAAAACAGAAAAGUUAGUAACUGAUUCCAUUUUCAGUUUGCUCACUAUGCGAAUUUGUCUCCAGCAACUGGGCUGUCUCCUGUUUUCAUAGUUCUCCUGGUUCACAUUAAUAGCAGGGUCUUUUGAAAUUAUCGAUUUGUGAUGUGACAGAGAGGAGAAUAUCAAAUUACAGCCCUUGAUUUCACACGAGUGACUUCUAGGUCACAGAAAGAGAAAUGGGGAGGGUUGCAAGAAAGUUACCAACGGGUGAAUGCAAUUUCAGCAAAUGCUACCAGAGACUGGGCCACCUGCCUAGUGGCAGCAUUGCUUCUGGCAGCAGCACUUCUGCUGGCAACAGCCCUUCCCACAGCCGCACGAGCCACAUGAGCCACAAGAGCCACAGCCACAGGAGCGGCGGCAGCAGCAGACCACGGGGACACUGCAGCAGCCCCCACAGCAGCCACAGCAGCAGGGGCAGCAGCCGGAGCAGCAGCCGACCCGGUAGCAUCUGCAGGUGGUGCAGCUGCCGCAGCCACCACCACAACCACCACCGCAGCCGCCACUGCAGCCACCACAGCCACCACCGCAGCCACCACCGCAGCCACCACAGCCACCGCAGCCACCACAGCUUCCACAGCCACAGCACCCCAUGGUGUCAGUAGAGAGGACUCAGGAGAGGUGAGGAGGGAUGUGCAGGAGGUGAGG